UUAAGUUAAUAAGGGCGCACGGUGGAUGCCUUGGCACUAGGAGCCGACGAAGGACGUGACAAACGACGAUAUGCCUUGGGUAGCUGUAAGUAAGCGAUGAUCCAGGGAUUUCCGAAUGGGGGAACCCAACAGGUAAUACCUGUUACCUACAUCUGUUAAGGAUGUGAGGAGGAAGACGCAGUGAACUGAAACAUCUAAGUAGCUGCAGGAAGAGAAAGCAAAAGCGAUUGCCUUAGUAGCGGCGAGCGAAACGGCAGAAGGGCAAACCGAAGAGUUUACUCUUCGGGGUUGUAGGACUGCAAUGUGGACUCAAAGAUUAUAGAAGAAUGAUUUGGGAAGAUCAGCCAAAGAGAGUAAUAGCCUCGUAUUUAAAAUAGUCUUUGUACCUAGCAGUAUCCUGAGUACGGCGGGACACGUGAAAUCCCGUCGGAAUCUGGGAGGACCAUCUCCCAACCCUAAAUACUCCCUAGUGACCGAUAGUGAACCAGUACCGUGAGGGAAAGGUGAAAAGCACCCCGGGAGGGGAGUGAAAUAGAACCUGAAACCGUGUGCCUACAACAAGUUCGAGCCCGUUAAUGGGUGAGAGCGUGCCUUUUGUAGAAUGAACCGGCGAGUUACGUUAUGAUGCGAGGUUAAGUUGAAGAGACGGAGCCGUAGGGAAACCGAGUCUGAAUAGGGCGCCUUAGUAUCAUGACGUAGACCCGAAACCAUGUGACCUACCCAUGAGCAGGUUGAAGGUGCGGUAAGACGCACUGGAGGACCGAACCAGGGCACGUUGAAAAGUGCUUGGAUGACUUGUGGGUAGCGGAGAAAUUCCAAACGAACUUGGAGAUAGCUGGUUCUCUCCGAAAUAGCUUUAGGGCUAGCGUCGACAUUAGAGAUUCUUGGAGGUAGAGCACUGUUUGGGUGAGGGGUCCAUCCCGGAUUACCAAUCUCAGAUAAACUCCGAAUGCCAAUGAAUUAUGGUCGGCAGUCAGACUGCGAGUGCUAAGAUCCGUAGUCGAAAGGGAAACAGCCCAGACCACCAGCUAAGGUCCCAAAAUAAUUGUUAAGUGGAAAAGGAUGUGGGGUUGCACAGACAACUAGGAUGUUAGCUUAGAAGCAGCUAUUCAUUCAAAGAGUGCGUAAUAGCUCACUAGUCGAGUGACCCUGCGCCGAAAAUGUACCGGGGCUAAAACAAUUUACCGAAGCUGUGGAUACCUUUAUAGGUAUGGUAGGAGAGCGUUCUAUGUGUGAUGAAGGUAUACCGUGAGGAGUGCUGGAACGCAUAGAAGUGAGAAUGCCGGUAUGAGUAGCGAAAGACAGGUGAGAAUCCUGUCCACCGUAAGACUAAGGUUUCCAGGGGAAGGCUCGUCCGCCCUGGGUUAGUCGGGACCUAAGGAGAGACCGAAAGGUGUAUCCGAUGGACAACAGGUUGAUAUUCCUGUACUAGAGUAUGUAGUGAUGGAGGGACGCAGUAGGCUAACUAAAGCAGACGAUUGGAAGAGUCUGUCUAAGCAGUGAGGUGUGAAUUGAGUCAAAUGCUUAAUUCUAUAACAUUGAGCUGUGAUGGGGAGCGAAGUUUAGUAGCGAAGUUAGUGACGUCACACUGCCAAGAAAAGCUUCUAGCGUUUAAACAUACUCUACCCGUACCGCAAACCGACACAGGUAGUCGAGGCGAGUAGCCUCAGGUGAGCGAGAGAACUCUCGUUAAGGAACUCGGCAAAAUGACCCCGUAACUUCGGGAGAAGGGGUGCUGACUUAAAGUCAGCCGCAGUGAAUAGGCCCAAGCAACUGUUUAUCAAAAACACAGCUCUCUGCUAAAUCGUAAGAUGAUGUAUAGGGGGUGACGCCUGCCCGGUGCUGGAAGGUUAAGAGGAGUGCUUAGCGUAAGCGAAGGUAUGAAUUGAAGCCCCAGUAAACGGCGGCCGUAACUAUAACGGUCCUAAGGUAGCGAAAUUCCUUGUCGGGUAAGUUCCGACCCGCACGAAAGGCGUAAUGAUUUGGGCACUGUCUCAACGAGAGACUCGGUGAAAUUUUAGUACCUGUGAAGAUGCAGGUUACCCGCGACAGGACGGAAAGACCCCAUGGAGCUUUACUGCAGUUUGAUAUUGAGUGUCUGUACCACAUGUACAGGAUAGGUAGGAGUCUAAGAGAUCGGGACGCCAGUUUCGAAGGAGACGCUGUUGGGAUACUACCCUUGUGUUAUGGCCACUCUAACCCAGAUAGGUGAUCCCUAUCGGAGACAGUGUCUGACGGGCAGUUUGACUGGGGCGGUCGCCUCCUAAAAGGUAACGGAGGCGCCCAAAGGUUCCCUCAGAAUGGUUGGAAAUCAUUCGCAGAGUGUAAAGGUAUAAGGGAGCUUGACUGCGAGAGCUACAACUCGAGCAGGGACGAAAGUCGGGCUUAGUGAUCCGGUGGUUCCGUAUGGAAGGGCCAUCGCUCAACGGAUAAAAGCUACCCUGGGGAUAACAGGCUUAUCUCCCCCAAGAGUUCACAUCGACGGGGAGGUUUGGCACCUCGAUGUCGGCUCGUCGCAUCCUGGGGCUGUAGUCGGUCCCAAGGGUUGGGCUGUUCGCCCAUUAAAGCGGCACGCGAGCUGGGUUCAGAACGUCGUGAGACAGUUCGGUCCCUAUCCGUCGCGGGCGUAGGAAAUUUGAGAGGAUCUGCUCCUAGUACGAGAGGACCAGAGUGGACUUACCGCUGGUGUACCAGUUGUCUUGCCAAAGGCAUCGCUGGGUAGCUAUGUAGGGAAGGGAUAAACGCUGAAAGCAUCUAAGUGUGAAACCCACCUCAAGAUGAGAUUUCCCAUGAUUAUAUAUCAGUAAGAGCCCUGAGAGAUGAUCAGGUAGAUAGGUUAGAAGUGGAAGUGUGGCGACACAUGUAGCGGACUAAUACUAAUAGCUCGAGGACUUAUCCAA
rnacentral:rRNA from 1 species